GAUGAGCGCUGGCGGCGUGCCUAAUACAUGCAAGUCGAGCGAACAGACGAGGAGCAUGCUCCUCUGACGUUAGCGGCGGACGGGUGAGUAACACGUGGAUAACCUACCUAUAAGACUGGGAUAACUUCGGGAAACCGGAGCUAAUACCGGAUAAUAUAUUGAACCGCAUGGUUCAAUAGUGAAAGACGGUUUUGCUGUCACUUAUAGAUGGAUCCGCGCCGCAUUAGCUAGUUGGUAAGGUAACGGCUUACCAAGGCGACGAUGCGUAGCCGACCUGAGAGGGUGAUCGGCCACACUGGAACUGAGACACGGUCCAGACUCCUACGGGAGGCAGCAGUAGGGAAUCUUCCGCAAUGGGCGAAAGCCUGACGGAGCAACGCCGCGUGAGUGAUGAAGGUCUUCGGAUCGUAAAACUCUGUUAUUAGGGAAGAACAAAUGUGUAAGUAACUAUGCACGUCUUGACGGUACCUAAUCAGAAAGCCACGGCUAACUACGUG
rnacentral:rRNA from 1 species